AAAAUAUUAGUUAAAUAAUAACAUUAGAAUGUCAAACUAAAAUUAUUAAUUUUAUUAAUAUAUUUUA
rnacentral:tRNA from 1 species